UCGAAGGGCCGAAUGGCCUACUCCUGCACCUUUUUUCUAUUGUGUUAGAAUCCAUUCGAUUCAUCCAUAUAAUUCCAGUUGAUCUGCCAUUUGUCACAACUGUUA